rnacentral:rRNA from 1 species
AGGACGAACGCUGGCGGCGUGCCUAAUACAUGCAAGUCGAACGGUCUUUCUAUGGAAGCUUGCUUCCACUGAGAAGAUAGUGGCGAACGGGUGAAUAACACGUGGGUAACCUGCCCAUAAGAGGGGGAUAACAUCCGGAAACGGGUGCUAAUACCGCAUAGUUUUCUUGAUCGCAUGAUCGGGAAAGGAAAGACGGCCUUUGUGCUGUCGCUUAUGGAUGGACCCGCGGCGUAUUAGUUAGUUGGUGAGGUAACGGCUCACCAAGACGAUGAUACGUAGCCGACCUGAGAGGGUGAUCGGCCACAUCGGGACUGAGACACGGCCCAAACUCCUACGGGAGGCAGCAGUAGGGAAUCUUCCGCAAUGGACGAAAGUCUGACGGAGCAACGCCGCGUGAGUGAAAGAAGGUUUUCGGAUCGUAAAACUCUGUUGUCAGAGAAGAACAAGUUGGAGAGUAACUGCUCCAGCCUUGACGGUAUCUGACCAGAAAGCCACGGCUAACUACGUGCCAGCCGCGGC